GACCAGAACCCUCAGCGUCAUCCUUAUUCAUUCUUCGCCCUCAGCCUCCACAUCGGAUGAGUCACAAAAGAUUUUCCUGGAAGAUAAUUCAUAGCACACACUUGUUGAUUCCUCUGGGACAUGUUUCUCAAAUCUGACUUCCUAGUUGCCCUCCCAUCGACAGUUUCUGGUCAGCUCCUUGCCUUUCGCCUGAACUCUUGCACCCAUUCAGCUAAUCGCUCCCUUCCACUGACUUCGCCUUUUCCUGUUCAUUCUCCAAUCUGUUGUCAACAUAAUUUAUUGAAAAUUGAAAUCCUUAAAACCUCCAUGGGUUCUUUGAUGCUCUACAAAGUAAGAUCCAAACUCCUUAAAUCCUUAAUAUGGCCCAUAGGGUUAUUAUGAUCCCCCCACAGCUUGCCCCUGACUUCUGCAGCUUUGCUUUGGGAGUUCUGGAACAGGCGCCCAUACUCCAGGUGAUGAGUGCUGAGAAGAGAAGAAGGCAGGAUAAAGCAACGGGAGGUGAGCAAGAAGAUCUCUCUGAGGAGUAGCAUCUGAGCAGAGAACUGAACUGAGGGGAGGCAUUCAAAUAAAGAGCUGGGUGGAGAGCACUGCGGAAGAAUUUUGGUCAAGGAACAGCAAGAAGGCUAAAAGCUCCAUCUGCUAAUGUUAGCCCGCUCCUUGGAAAGGCAUCUCUUUUCUACAUGAAGAAUCAGGCGUCACUAUUGAAUCGAUGGCAGCCUAGCCUCCCAUUUAUCUGUCCGAUAGAAUUUCUUGAGUGAAAAAUAUGUCCAAAUAUAAUCAAAGGGAAAAACUGAAUGUACUUCUGUUCGAGGUAUAGUCUGUGAAAAUGAAUAACAAUCCCACUUAUGCAUCUCUUAUUGACUAUGGAGCGUAUGAAAGAAAAGUAAGAAUUUUAAGCUUGUUUUACAUAAGAGUGGAACUAAGAUCAAUAAACGCAAGUUACGGGUGAAUAGAUUUCAAUUCAUCAGGAAAAAGAACUCUUUAGCAGUCAGAAUACAGAAAACAGAACGAGGACUUUCCUGGCAAAAUCUUUUGACAAAGUCUUCUAAGCUGGAAAUCCUAGAAUCCAUGUUUCUAAUACUGGCCAGUGUUUCAAAGAAGCUAAUUGGGCACACGGCCUGAAGUUGCCCUACCAAACACCCAUCUAAAAAUGCAGGCAGUGCUUGAAGUGGUUGGCAUUGAUCCAGAGAAUUUGGGCAAGUCUUCGGGCCACUCUGAGAUAUGACAUUGCUGGGCUCUGGAGGUACAAAGAUAAAUGAGCCAUGAGACUUUCCUUCGAGCAGCUCACAGUCCAACAGAGGAGAUAGACAAAGCAACAAACACAGCAGCAAAAUAAUAAAUAUAAAUUUAUGCAAAUACCAAAGUAGCACGGAGGAGGGAGUGAUUAACUUGAAAGUUGUACUAGAAUAAAACUUCAAAGUCUGCAGUGUCUGAUGGGGUGCAGGUGCAAGCCCCUUUUAGAACAGAUGGACUCCUGAAUUUCCUCUAACAUGAAUUCCUACGUAUCAAAGGCCAUAAUGUUUCAUUAUAAAACUGAAUGUAUGUACGUUAAAGUCACAUUUGAUAAUUCAAAAUAGUGUUCUCCCCCUUUCUUAGUAAAAUAAAAAAAUUUCUUAACUGAAUAGUCACAUUGGGUUGAAGAGUCAUUUGUUUCUAACAAAUUGACACUUUGUUAUUUUCCAUUAGGAGCAAAGGUGCAAUUCCUUUUGAUUACUCAGAGCUUGUUACACAGAACCACUAGAAUGAGCAGGCUCCUCCGGACUGGAGAGGACACAGAAGUACUGCAGAGCUUAUUUCUGCUCUGAUGGAAAGCAGUCUGGGGGGGCACAGAGAGAGCUGAAGACAGGAAGCAGAAACACUAUUGCAGCCGCACAGCAAUGCUAAGAGAGGGAAAAAGGCUGAGUACUUCCUAUGGGUGAUCUCAUUUAAUAUUCACGGAAACCUAUGAGGUAGGUAUUACUAACUAUCCCCAUUUUACAGGAAACUGAGGCCCAGAGAGGUUAAGUAAAAUGCCUAAGAUUAAACAGCUAGCAGGAGGCAGAACAAAGGUUCAAAUUCAGGAAGUUCGAGUCCAUUCUUAACCACAUUUAACCAUCAUAUUAUGUUAAUUUGUUUUCCCUUUAAGUGGCAAAUCUUCAUUUAUAGAAUUUGGAAUAAGGCAAGGAUUUACUGUAGUGGGAAGCUUCAUUUCAACUUUUUUUUUUUUAAAUAAGGUGUCUGUCUAUAAGACAAACCCCAUAGAAUAGUAUCUUAG
rnacentral:lncRNA from 1 species